rnacentral:ncRNA from 2 species
AUUCUGUUUCAGGGCGAGGUGCAAUUCCUCACUGGCGGUAAUCCGGCCGCGAUGCCCCGCAUCGGCGAGCCGGGAGUCCGCGACCCUGCGAACGUCCCCGAUAGGGAGUGCGGUUGCAGGCUGAUUCCGGUGCGAUUCCGGAACCAACGGUAUAGUCCGGAUGGAAGAGGCAGAGA